CCUACGGGUGGCUGCAGUGAGGAAUAUUGGUCAAUGGACGCAAGUCUGAACCAGCCAUGCCGCGUGAGGGAUGAAGGUCUUCGGAUCGUACACCUCUGUCAGCAGGGAAGAACGGUCACUGUGCUAAUCAGCAGUGAAUUGAUGGUACCUGCAAAGGAAGCACCGGCUAACUCCGUGCCAGCAGCCGCGGUAAUACGGAGGGUGCGAGCGUUAAUCGGAAUUACUGGGCGUAAAGCGCUCGUAGGCGGUAUGUCAAGUCAAGUGUGAAAUCCCCGCGCUCAACGUGGGAACUGCCUGUGAAACUGGCAAACUGGAGUGUGUGAGAGGAUAGUGGAAUUCCAGGUGUAGGAGUGAAAUCCGUAGAUAUCUGGAGGAACAUCAGUGGCGAAGGCGACUAUCUGGCACAUAACUGACGCUGAGGAGCGAAAGCGUGGGUAGCAAACAGGAUUAGAUACCCGGGUAGUC
rnacentral:rRNA from 1 species